rnacentral:rRNA from 1 species
UACGGGGGGGGCAAGCGUUGUUCGGAAUUACUGGGCGUAAAGGGCUCGUAGGCGGCCAACUAAGUCAGACGUGAAAUCCCUCGGCUUAACCGGGGAACUGCCUCUGAUACUGGAUGGCUUGAGUUUGGGAGAGGGACGCGGAAUUCCAGGUGUAGCGGUGAAAUGCGUAGAUAUCUGGAGGAACACCGGUGGCGAAGGCGGCGUCCUGGACCAACACUGACACUGAUGAGCGAAAGCCAGGGGAGCAAACGGG